GCGAGAGUGGUGAAAUUGGUAGACACGCCAGACUUAGGAUCUGGUACCGCAAGGCUUGAGGGUUCAAAUCCCUCCUCUCGCA
rnacentral:tRNA from 1 species